GAUGAAGAACGUAGUGAAAUGCGAUAAGUAAUGCGAAUUGCAGAAUUUCCGUGAGUCAUCGAAUCUUUGAACGCACAUUGCGCCCACUGGUAUUCCGGUGGGCAUGCCUGUUCGAGCGUCAUUAUCCUCCCUCAAACCCCGGGUUUGGUGUUGGACCCAAGUUGUGUGAACAACUGGUCUCAAAGACAAUGACGGCGUCCGUGGGACCCUCGGUGCAACGAGCUUUUAGGAGCACGCAUCGAGUUGCAAGGACCUUCCGGGCCGGUCUCCUUUACCAUUUUACAAGAUUGACCUCGGAUCAGGUAGGAAUACCCGCUGAACUUAAGCAUAUCAAUAAGCGGAGGA
rnacentral:misc_RNA from 1 species